AUUGAACGCUGGCGGCAGGCCUAACACAUGCAAGUCGAACGAGUGGCGGACGGGUGAGUAAUGUCUGGGAAACUGCCCGAUGGCGGGGGAUAACUUCUGGAAACGGUAGCUAAUACCGCAUACCAUCGGAUGUGCCCAGAUGGGAUAAGCUAGUAGGUGGGGUAACGGCUCACCUAGGAGACGAUCCCUAGCUGGUCUGAAAGGAGGACCAGCCACCCUGGAACUAAGACACGGUCCAGACUCCUACGAGUGUCAGCAGUGGGGGAUAUUGCACAUUGGGCGAAAGCCUGAUGCAGCCAUGCGGCGUGUAUGAAGAGGGCCUUCGGGUUGUAAAGUACUUUCAGCGAGGAGGCGUUACUCGCAGAGGAAGCACCGGCUAACUCCGUGCCAGCAGCCGCGGUAAUUC
rnacentral:rRNA from 1 species